rnacentral:rRNA from 1 species
GACGAACGCUGGCGGCGUGCUUAACACAUGCAAGUCGAACGGAACGGCCCUGCCUUUGUGGGGUGCUCGAGUUGCGACCGGGUGAGUAACCCGUGAGUAACCUGCCCUUGACUUUGGGAUAACUUAAGAACACUGGAUCUAAUACCGGAUAAGAUCUCCUGCUUCUGGGUGGGGGUUGGAAAGUUUAGGCGGUUGGGGAUGGAAUCGCGCCUUAUCAGCUUGUUGGUGGGGUAGUGGCUUACCAUGGUUUUGACGGGUAGCAGGCCUGAGAGGGUGACCUGCCAAAUUGGAAUUGAGAUACGGCCCAGACUACUACGGGAGGCAGCAGUGGAGAAUAGUGCACAAGGGGCGGAAGCCUGAUGCAGCAACGCCGCGUGCGGGAUGACGGCCUUCGGGUUGUAAACCGCUUUCGCCUGUGACGAAGCGUGAGUGACGGUAAUGGGUAAAGAAGCACCGGCUAACUACGUG